rnacentral:lncRNA from 1 species
ACAGCCGAAAUCGUGUAGUUAAGUGUCGGUCUGAACAUGGUAUAAGUGUAUAAAUAUUUUCAUUGCGAUUUAAGGAAUGUUGAUGAAGAUUGGUAGGGUUUAUACCAAAUUUCAAAAUGAAGUAUGCUUCGGAAUAAUGAUUUUAACUAAUUUUGGAUGAAUUUAACGAUUACGUUGAAUUUCCUUCAAGAAGCAGUUGUUGAUUUCAUGUUUCUUCGCAAAACCAGCGUUACCAUAUUUGCAUAUAAUUGAAGAAAUUAGUACUAGAUUUCUUCAGAGCUACAUACUAGCAGCGAUAAAUUUUCUUGACCAAUUCUUAAACGUUUUUUAUGAAUUUUUUACAUUUUUUCAAAGCUGGAUCCUAAGCUUAAAUGUUCAAAAUAUACUUUUAAGUGUUUUUAUUGACGCAAUACUACUGUUGACAGAAGACUGGGGCUAUGAAUAUGACGUCAGAAAACUGUCCAGCAAUCUAGCGAAUGAAAUUAAAGUGAAGUAAGAGUCCAACAAUCAUCAGAAAUACCACCUGGCCGUUGUGACUGAUUUUUGGGCUAAACACGAAACGAGAGUCAUCACUCAGCCAUCGUGUUCGCCACAUCAGAGGAGGCCGGAUUUGUCAUUUCAUUAUUUUUAUGGUAUACGAGUAUAUAAAGAAAUGGAUUAUUGACUGAAAAUGGACAUAUUUUGAAUGUCACAAUAAAGUUUUGUAGUAAAAUACGUGAUUAUAAUUUUUUUUUUCAAGCUGGGCCAAAUUUAAUCAGAUAAUACCAUAUACCUAGGAUUUCAACUUUUUUGUUUCUCAGUAAUGAAUUCUCCUGUUUAUUUCUGAAUGACUGCCACUUGGUCUUUCUUAAUAUAAAAUUUACUCUCUACAAGAUGCAAAUUAAAUAAAUAAAGCUUUUCUCUAGAUGUUUUCAACAACCUUCUUCACAUUUAAACUUUAGAUCCUAAUAUAUCUAAAGUUUGCAAAUUCACGAGACUGAAAUUUUGCCGAUUAAACCUUUCAGGGUUUGUUAUGUUACUGCAUCUGAAGAAAUAUUUCAAUUUCAGGGAUAUUGCUGUUUGUUUAUUUUUGAAUAAUUUCAUUUUAAUUUUAGUCAAAUUUGUUUAAAAACUAACAAUUCCAGAUGUUAGUACUUACCUUUAAUUUUAUUUUUAGUGAGACGGUAAGUAUGGUGCUCAUGCAAUAAUAAACCGGUGUUUUUACAUUAAUGAAGCAUACAUAUCCAAAUAUUUUGAAUUGUAAACUUUUUGUACAAUUAUAUAAAUUUUUAUUCACUUUUUCUUAAUAUAAUGCAAUUCUUUCAUAGGCGUUUAAUUAUUUUUAUAAAUUUAUUAUGUGUAUAUAAUAGCUAAAUAUUUAACGCAAAAGAGUGUUGUUAAAGAUUAUUGUGAAUUUUGCGUGCAUUUAAUUUUUUAAGUGUAAUGCACUUAUAAUGUUAAUUUAUGCUUUCUUUUGUAAUUAUUUGCAGUUGUGUAUAAAUGAAAAGCUUAUUUCAAUUUUGCUAAAGUUAAAAAAAUAAUUUUGAAUAAGGGUUACAAGAACAAACUAGGUUAAGUAAUUAAUUAAUUCUUGCUACAGAAUGUUGGCUUCAUUAUUUCUAAGCAAUACAUUUGAUAUCUUUUGCUUGCGAUGCAAAAAAUUGUUAGAAAUAUGCUUCUGUAUGUAUAAGGUGCAAUUUCAAUUUAACAUGCGUACUAGUGAAUUAUUAAACAAUAUUAAUAACUAUAGCGUAUGGAUGGUGAUACUUUUAAAUGUUUAUUUUAAAUUAUUAAGCUUUUAAAAGUCCGCAUAAAAAUAUGUGAUGUUUUUGGUAACCUGCCUUACGUUUGUUUGCAAUUUUAUUAUUUUUUUUCCAAUAUUUCACUAAGCCUAGCUUUCAAAUAUUUGUCUUUACAAUCAAAUUAUGUUGAAAUGCCACAAUAAUAACAAAAAAGUUUUACUCCAUGUGCACAGAGAGUUAUUAAAAUCACUCAAAACACAACUGCAAAUGAUAAACAAAUAUAUUUAACAAUCACGCGACAUUCCUAAAACUUAGCUUUUCAAAAGUACAAAAAAAAAAAUGAAAUAAAAGCAAAAAUAAACAAACAAUACGUAUACAUUUUUGUAGUUUUUCUAUCAAAGAAAAAUAAAUCAGUAAUAAGCAUUAUAUAAAAUGCGUACAUUGCAUCCGUUUAAUAUGUAUAUGUAUGUAUAUACUUGUAUAUGUGUAUGAUUUUCAUAUAUAAUAUAUAACAUAAGACUUAAGUAUUAAAAUAUUACAAUAAAAAUUGCCAGCGGAAUAUUUUUUGUUUUUCGUUUUAACAUAAUAAAUUUAUUAUAAUAUUUUGUAGCUGCUAAAUUGCUUUAUAUUUAAAUAAUUUAAUUAAUUGCUUUGUCAUAAAACAUACUUGUAGUUGUUCGAAAAUUAAAUUUUAAAUAAAACAAAACAUUUUAAAUUUGGACAAAUUAAUGAAAAAUCGGAGAAACAAACAAAACAAACACAUGCGGCGCCAAAGACGAAGUGCAUUCUAUGUGAGAACAUGAAUAUUAAAUAUUUUUCUUUACAUACAUAUGUACAUAUGUAUAUAAACUAUUUCUGAAAAAUACUACGGUGAUGUGCUAUGAAACAUAUGCAAAAAUGUUGAACGAAUAACAUCAAAUGCAUAUUUUAAGUUCCAAGUUAAAUGAAAUUCAACACGAAUUAACAACCUCAAAAGCGUGUUUGUAUAAAUGUAAAAAUUUAUGUUACAAGGUAAUGUGUAGCAAGAGUAAAUUUGAUUUUGAACAGAUAAAAUUUGAAUUUACAGAAAAUAAUAUUUUUCUUAAAUACUUUUUAAACAUAUGAAGCUGUGUGUUAAUUCAUAGAAAAUUAUAUUUUUAGAAAAAACAUUUUAUCUGCAUAUUUCGAAGAACACACAAUGCACUACAAAAGUUUGGAAGCAAACAAUUUGAGUUUAUAAUUAUUUGCCAAAGUAAUGACAUGUUUAUACAAUUAAAGCUUAUUCAUAAUGAUGCUCACAAUAUAAGCUUUGUGCAGCGGAUCUAAAAAAGAUCAAUUUCGUUGAAAUAAACUGUAGUAAUAGCAAAAUGUGAUAACUACUUACUGAAAACUGCUUUAGCCUAGAAUAUAUUUUCCUCCGCAUUAAGGUUUUAAAGCUCUUUUAGCACAUUAUUUUUAAAUUUUUUUAUUUAAGCACAAAUUAUAUUUCAUAUUUUGUAUAUUAUCGAUUUUUUUAAAUUUAGUUGUGUUUGUAUGAGUAAAAGUAUUUGAUUUCCUUUGUUGCUAAUAUUUUACACGCUAUGGCAGUUUAUUAAAUAUAUUUUAUUUAUAUUUUUAACUAUUUGAUUUGUGUUUGUCUGUGUGUGUGUGGAACUAUUACAUAUAAAGUUUAGAACUAGAAGGUUUAGUUUUUUAUAUCAUUUAUACAUUUUACGUUUGCGAUAUUUCUUGAUAAUUUUAAUAAUUUUUUUAAUUAAAGUUUUAUGUAAUAAUUUUUUUUUUUUUAAUUUUUCGCUGUAUAAGUUUGCAUUGAAGCGCGAUGUGCAGUUAAUUUUUUUUGUUGGUGGUAAAUUGCAGACACUACUACUUAACUAAAAGUACAUAUCUGUUAAUUUUGUAUUUAUUUCAACAAAAAUAUUUUUGAAUAGUUCCAGCCACCAACCUCGAAUUCCCAUCGAGCCUAAUGCUUUGCACUGUUUGUCUUAUACUGAGUGCAGAAUUUUGAGGAGUUUUUAAACGUUAAAAUUUAUUAAAAUCGAAUUUUAAAACUUGAAAAAGUCAUACAAAAUCUAAUAAAUAUUUUUAGUACGCUUUUGGUUGUAUGUUUUAAGCACAAAACUCUUAUUACGAUGUACAUUAUAUUAUGUACAUGCGCACAUAUAUGUGUAGGUGAUUCUCAAAUAUCUGAAAAUUUAAGUUGAUAAACAGCUACAGUUGAAGAAAUUAUGGAUUUCAAGAAACUUUUCCGUUAUCAUAUUUAAAUUUAAGGUUGGCAGUUACAAAGUCGUUCUUGUUAAAAUAUUUCGAUUAAAAAAUUCGGUUGUGCUAUACAGUAUGUUUUAGAACUAUUAUCAACAGAAGGAAAACUUUUGUAAGCCGCACUGAAUUAUUAUUUUUUAUUUGUGUGGCUGAAAAUGAAAAUAGUGACGCGAAUCUUUAACAAAUCCAUAUAUAGGUGCAAACAGGUCUAAAGUCUGUUUUUAAGCAGUUUGGCUGAAACAUUUUACUUCAUACAUUGCUAAAACGAUUGUAACGUUAACUGAAGUAUUUUUCAUUCAAUAUGAAUUUCUUAAGGAAGAGUAAACAUCGUCUGAAGUAUAUAGUAAAUAAAAAUAUAAUGAUUAAGGACUCCCAAGUUAAUUUCACAGCUAACCUUUCAGCACGCUGGUAGUAAAUUUAAAUUUUAACAAAAACAAUAAAGCUAUUUUGCAAAAAUUCGAUUUUCACACGCUACAUAACAUAAUAACAUAA